rnacentral:misc_RNA from 1 species
CCCUUAUGAUUCUUGAGCUCUUUUCCCACAUCCCUCGCUCCCACACGCACGCACUGGCUCUCCCCAUCCAUGCCGUCUUGACAUCAUCUCCGUCCUCGCAUUGUACGCAUACCAACACAACUGGCCACGUCGCACUACGCCCCCCCCCAGCCCUCACCUCUCCUCUCUCCGCCUCUCUGCAGUCUACGAGUGAGAAAGAAAGCGCCCUAGUGCAGUCCCUCCAUCGGUGUCUGUGCGUGUGGGUCUGUGUGUUGCUCUUGGGCAUCCACCACCACCACCACCCACACGCUCGUCUUCACCUAAACCGCCCCCGCCCUCGUCGGCUCCUUCCGCUCCUUACCUCUGUUUCUAGGUUUCCUUCGCCGUCUUUGCAGACGGCCAUUGUAUCGCUUCUCUACCGAGUCAGUAGCCACCGCCAACGACCCGCCUCUCCGCCCCGCUCACUCGUCCCGGCAGCGGCGUUGUCUUCGUUGCUCCUAUUCGUCGACUUCCUCUGCUCGACACAUAUUGUUGGCUACUGGAUCGAGUGGCCGGUGACGCGCCGCCCCCAAGUCGUUUCGCGGUUGUCGUCGUAUCAAGAAAAGACGCACACUCUUGGUCGUCACGAAGACCCGCACAAACAGCGAAACGCCAGCGGGCAACUCAGCAGACGUCAACAUCGAUUGACUCAUUGACUAUGGCAGUCUCAGGUGGCGAGGUGAUUGGCCGCGAGGGCGAUCCGUCCGUGCGCAAGGCGAACGCGAAGCAGCUGGCCGCCGGCUACACCAGGAAGAAGCGCCUCCUCGAGUGCUGCUACCUCUCCGCCUCUACGUUCCUGUGGUGCAGCAACGUGAUCUCAUGCGGCCGCUACUUUGUCUUCGCGUCCGAUGCGAACUUGAUGCAGCUCGUGUGGAUGCCGCUGUUCAUCCUUGCGGCCAUGGUGCUGGCAGACCUCGUCUCCGGCCUCGUACACUGGGGCAUGGACACGUGGGGCACCCCUGACACGCCGAUCUUUGGCACCUUCAUCCGCAGCUUCCGCGAGCACCACGUUGACCAGACGGCCAUGUGCAAGCAUGACUUCAUCGAGACGAACGCCGACACGACGCUGCCUCUGCUCCCUCUGCUGCUUAUCCAGUACGCAUGCGUGCGGUCCACAAAUCGCAGUGGAAACCGCUAUGUCGCCAACCUGCAUGUUCGCAACAUCGGUGUGCACGUCUUCCUCUGCACCUUCUUCAUCUUCGUGGCCAUCACGAACGAAAUCCACAAGUGGUCGCAUCAGGCGAAGCAGUCCCGCAUUGUGCGCAAGGCAAUGGGCAUCGGCAUUCUCCUCUCCCCCAUUGCCCACCGCAAGCAUCACAAGGACCCCUUCGACCGCACCUAUUGCAUCACCACGGGGUGGUUGAACCCCCUGCUCGACUCCACGAACUUCUGGCGCCACCUGGAGUCUCUGGUGUCCUCUAUCACGGGCGAGAUCCCUCGCGCUAACGACCAGACUCUGCUGGGGAAGUGAGAGCACAGCAAAAUGAAAAGAAGGAAGCGCACACACGCGCACGCAGGCACGCUCGAUGUCUCUGUCCUCUCUCCCAUCGUCACGUCUAGAGCUCGCCUUGUAGGCGAGGCAGGAAGGAGCCACGGUCAAACGAAUGUACACGCCCACGCGGGCGACUCUUCCGCUUCUGCGCGCGUGUGUUCUCUCGCCGGUCGGCGUCGCUUUUGCCGCACGGCCUUGCUUAUAUUCUCUUCCCCGCUUAUGUUUUUUUUUGUUUGUUUUGAGGGGGUCUCUCUCUUUAAGUGUGGUCGAACAUGUAUGUGUGCGAUCCGGUGGGUAAGCAGCAAUGCGAGGGGUUGUGAGGAAGCCGCCCCUUCCUCCUCCUCCUCCACCACCACCCCCUUCCCUUUUUUGUAUUGCUUGGGUUUUAUGUUCCUUAACCUGACUUGCUCUCUCUCUCUCUUUAGAUUAUUUCUCCUCUCCGUCUCCCCCCCCCCUUCGCUCCUUCUGUGCCACCUCGCAGUGCGCAGCGUGUGCCUGCCUGUGUCUGUGUGUGGCACACAUCACACAGAUCUUGUGAGACUAACUCUCAGGCGCCCCCCCUCCGCCCCCCCCCCCUUCGUCUCUUUCUGCACUGCCCGAUUCCAUAUCGCAUCGCCCUCACCCGCCGUGCCGCCCCCUCUCUCUUUGGCUCUCCUCCCCCGCCGCCGUCACAUGCCGGCUUGCCUCCUCCACGUUGGUGUGACGGUGGCGGUGGUGCCGGCAGUGAGAGAAGGCAAUCUGAAGCAUCUCAUACGUAUGUAAAGUGCACAGCUGUGGGCGUAUCAGGGUGGUGUUGUCGGUGCCGUUAUCGUGGGGAUUGAGCAACUUGUGGUAGCCAGCGGAGAACAAUGACGCGUGUGUAUGUGUGUGUGUGUGUGUCCAAGUGAUGCUCGGCUGAUCUGGUAGCGGGCGGAGGUCGGCGUGCAGGAGCCACACCGGUGAGAUGGCGGACGAGGGCGAUGGCGUGUGGAAAUCUC